GAAUGUCUCAAAGGAAAAAAGAAAAGAAAACCAGCUCUGAAUUCUUCGAUGUCCUGGUUUUAAGUGGCAAAUGAUGGCUACAGUUGAUAGGAACUAUAUACAAACACCUAUAAGAAAUAUAUAUAUAUACAUGCACUUAGACGGAAAACCAAAGCUAGCAAUUCACUUUCCGGACACUUCCAAUUCAAUAAAUGAAUAUUGCCUUGUCAACAGAACAGGGGGACUGUUUUGUUAUUGUGGUUGUUCAAAUGCAAAACCAAAGCCAGGAUUUCGGUACCGAUUUAUACUGCAGCUAUUUUCCAUUGUUCAAAUGAUCAAAGUUUUUUUGUUUUUUUUUUGUUUUUUUGUUUUUUUUUGUUUUUGUUUUUGUUUUUUUUUUUAACUCUUGCAGAGCAGGUGGUUCGGACAUCCAGCCGAGCAUCUUCUAAAUGCUAAUUUUUCCGUAUAGGAGAAAAAGAAUAAGAUUCAGGCGAAAUAAUGCCUGGGGCAGGGGCAAAGAUGUUGGCAAAGCUCAAAAGCAACAGGCGAUCCAGGGUCUUUCCGCAUGCGAGGGUGGGGUCGUCUUGCACAGUCCAGGCCCAGCCCUCCGCGACACUUCGAAACUACACCUUAACCCUGGGCACCAGGUUUAUUUACACCGAAGGACCGCCGCUCCGUGUCUGAGCGUGUCGCGGACCUUCAAACCCGGGCUGGAAUCAAAGGAGAACGCAAGAACCUGGAGCACAGGGUUGCCGACUCUGACGCUUACUCCCAGGCGGUCAGCGGCGCGCUACCAUCGACGGAUGGCAAUCCGAGUAAUGAAAAUCCAGGUCUCCGUAGUUUCCAUAGGACUCUACAGAACCUCUGCGGCCUGUGGUUGGCUGGUCUCUGGGCAUGCGCAGUGGCCACCUGGGGGUUGGCGGCGCCCUAGUGUCGCCUACUGGAAGGGCAAAAACCCGGGACCAUGUCGGCCCAGGGCGACUGUGAGUUUCUGGUGCAGCGAGCCCGGGAACUAGUGCCCCAGGACCUGUGGGCAGCCAAGGCAUGGCUGAUCACGGCCCGCAGCCUCUACCCGGCCGACUUCAACAUCCAGUAUGAAAUGUACACCAUCGAACGGAAUGCCGAGAGGACUGCCACCGCAGGGAGGUUGCUGUAUGACAUGUUUGUGAAUUUCCCGGACCAGCCGGUGGUAUGGAGAGAAAUCAGCAUCAUCACGUCAGCAUUGAGGAACGACUCACAAGAUAAGCAGACCCAGUUCUUACGGAGUUUAUUUGAAACCCUUCCCGGUCGGGUCCAGUGUGAAAUGUUGUUGAAGGUGACAGAGCAAUGCUUCAACACGCUGGAACGAUCAGAAAUGUUGCUGCUGCUGCUGAGGCGUUUCCCUGAGACAGUGGUGCAACACGGGGUUGGCCUCGGGGAGGCCCUGCUGGAAGCUGAAACCAUUGAAGAACAAGACUCUCCUGUUAACUGCUUUAGAAAGCUAUUUGUUUGUGAUGUCCUUCCUCUAAUAAUCAACAACCAUGAUGUCCGCUUGCCCGCCAAUCUCUUAUAUAAAUACUUGAACAAAGCAGCUGAAUUUUACAUCAACUAUGUCACUCGGUCCACACAGUCAGAAAAUCAGCAUCAAGGUGCACAGGAUACAUCUGAUUUAAUGUCGCCUAGCAAGCGUAGCUCUCAGAAGUACAUAAUAGAAGGACUGACUGAGAAAUCAUCCCACAUCGUCGACCCCUGGGAGAGGUUGUUUAAGAUUCUGAAUGUUGUUGGAAUGAGAUGCGAAUGGCAGAUGGAUAAAGGGAGACGAAGCUGCAGUGACCUGCUGCACCGGAUGAAGGAGCUCUGCAGAUACAUGAACAGCUUUGACAGCGAAGCUCACAACAACUAUAAAAACCAAGUGCUCUACUCCACGAUGCUGGUGUUCUUCAAGAGUGCGUUCCAGUACGUCAGCAGCAUACAGCCAUCUCUCUUCCAAGGUCCUAACGCCCCAAGCCAGGUUCCACUAAUUCUUCUGGAAGAUGUGGCCAAUGUGUAUGGUGAUGUAGAAAUUGAUCGCAGUAAACACAUACACAAGAAGAGGAAGCUAGCUGAGGGAAGAGAAAAAACCAUGCAGAGUUCAGAUGAUGAAGAGUGUUCAGCGAAAGGCAGAAACCGGCACAUUGUUGUCAGCAAAGCUGACCUCAGCAACUCCAUCGAAGUACUGGAGAGCUUCAAACUGGCCAGGGAAAGCUGGGAGUUACUCUACUCUCUGGAAUUCCUUGACAAAGAAUUUACAAGAAUUUGCUUGGCUUGGAAGACAGACACCUGGCUGUGGCUAAGAAUCUUCCUCACAGAUAUGAUCAUCUACCAGGGUCAAUAUAAGAAGGCCAUAGCCAGUCUGCAUCACUUAGCAGCUCUGCAAGGAUCCCUUUCUCAGCCACAGAUCACAGGACAGGGGACUUUAGAACACCAGAGGGCGCUCAUCCAGCUGGCAACGUGUCACUUUGCUCUGGGGGAGUACAGAAUGACGUGCGAGAAAGUCCUAGAUCUGAUGUGUUACAUGGUGCUCCCCAUACAAGAUGGCGGGAAGCCACAGGAAGAGCCGUCCAAAGUAAAGCCCAAGUGUAGAAAAGGUUUGGAUCUGAAGCUUCUGCCCUGUACCAGUAAGGCUAUCAUGCCAUACUGCCUGCACUUGAUGCUGGCCUGCUUUAAGCUGAGAGCUUUUACAGACAGCAGAGACGACAUGGCACUGGGCCAUGUGAUUGUACUGCUCCAGCAGGAGUGGCCACGGGGAGAGAACCUUUUCCUGAAAGCCAUCAGUAAGAUUUGCCAGCAAGGAAAUUUCCAGUAUGAGAACUUCUUCAGCUAUGUUACAAACAUUGAUAUGCUGGAGGAAUUUGCUUAUUUAAGAACCCAAGAAGGAGGGAAGAUUCAUCUGGAAUUACUCCCAAAUCAAGGAAUGCUGAUCAAGUUCCAAACAAAUUCUCUGAAGCCAUUGCAGACCUUUUGGGUGGUCCCUCCAGAUGAGUGGCAGAGAUGUUGUGAGCAGUGUACCUCUCCUCCCCUUGGGGUAAGGUUGUGAGUCCGUCCUAGUUGUAGCAUCUCGGAUGCAAGCAGGUACAGUACAAACACCAGGCACUUGGUGCCAGGCCACAAGGAGGCAUCAGUUCUUCAUUUGUUGUAUAGAUAUGUUGUUCUAAUUUGUGUUAAAUCAGAGAAAUGUUUCUAUGCUGAUAUUCACAGUACCAUAGUUGCAUUAGACUGGAUCAAAAUGGAAAAAAAAAAAAGAUAUUCUCUGGGGUGACUACCAGCUAAUGUGCUAAAUUUUUAUUACAGAAUUCUGCAAAACCAUGGGUCCCAGCCUUGCCCCCCCCCCCCCGAAAUCUGAAGCUCACCCUUUCUUUACUGAAAGCAUUGCCAGCCCUUCUGAGCCCUUUUUAGGAGGGCCUUUCAGUUCAGGGCCUCAGUCCUGCCAGAGGUGGCUAGCUGGCAUCUCCAGGUAUAAUUCUGGGAUGCGUGGGCAUGAGAAGAGUGAAUGAAGGAGGCUGGAUUUUGAAUCAGACCUUCUCAGAAGUUACCCUCCCCCACUCCCCCCUCCUCACUGAUUUAUCACAAGUGGGCAGAGCUCUGGGACCAGCAGCCAAGACGCCUCUAGACUGGCACCAGCAGUGGGUGCGGUGGGGCCCUCAGCUUCUCCCAGUCCCUUGAAGACAUGCCACGGCCAGGGGCUUGUGGAGGUUAAAGUUUCUGUACAGUCCGCUUCCAGUCUCGUGUAUCUUCUCUGGAGUGUUGUUUUGCAGUGCAGGGUGAGCUGGUGUGGGUGUUUGAAUGCUGCUGUUUGCUGUUUUUUAAAGGCCUUCUAGCCCUCCCAUGGGGUUGCUGCAGCAGGAAUUCUUACCUGUGCUUCAGCCCAGCAUACAGACUGCUGACAGGCACCACACAGUCACUCGAGGCAUCACCAAAGGUGUGAAGGAGGACUUCCGCCUGGCCAUGGAGCGCCAGGUCUCCCGCUGUGGUGAGAACCUGAUGGCGGUACUACAUCGCUUCUGCAUUAAUGAGAAGAUCUUGCUCCUGCAGACUCUGACCUGAUAGACCUCCUGGCCACCAGCGGCUCAGCCAUGACAAGCGCUGCCAGACCAGGGCUGAUGAAGAAGAAAAACACCAAGUUCUAACUCCCUUAGUUGCUUAAAAGUCAAUCCGAAGAGUAUAGGAAGUUAUUUCUAUUUUUAAGACUUCAGGUUUUUUUAGUUUGUACAAAAUAAGAUUCAAUCCAUUUUGUAAAUAAAAACCCGAAAGAUUUGAAGUUUUAAAAAAAAACUUAUUUUUAGUUUCAAGUAGGGUACAUUUGUCUUCUAUUUUUCUAAUCAUGGCAAAGGGGCAAAAAUCCAACACAAUUAAAUGCAGGAAUGAAUUUUUUGAUAUAUUUACCUAAUGGAAUAUGUCUUCCAUGACCUCAGGUGUGUUUUAUUGAUAUGCUUUGGUAAGUAUUACACAUCAGGAUAACAUUGGACCUUUCGUUUUAUUUAUGCACAGUUGAACUUGGGCCUGUCCUGUCCCUGCUGAGAGCCCAUUGCAGGCAUGGUACUCUAUAGUCUCUGAAAAGACAGGAUGAGAAAUAUCGGAGACAGCAAAGUGCAGGGGACCCUCCUCUCUGCUGGGGCCUCUGGAAGUCAGUCUGGCUCUGUGGACUCUCCUAGGCCCUUGGGGCCGUGCAUCACUGCUUGACAGCCAUCUGGCACCCUGCCCUGCCCUGCUCUGCCCUGCCCUGCCCUGCCCUGCCCUGCCCUGUACUUGUCUGUGUGAUCAAGAAUGAACAUGUGCAAACACAGACACACACACACACACACACACACACACACAGAGCAACUAGAAUUAUGUUUUCUAGGUGCUGCCAAAGACUAGGUUGUUUUACAGAUAUUUUCUAAAAAGAACAGGCAUUCUUAUUUCUUCCAAAGGUCACUCUAGUGUAUGUUCUGGGUCUUAACUUAUGGAGGCAUAGGUCUUAGGUAUAAAGGAUUUUCUUGUUAAAUCAACUGUCAUAAUUUGAAUAGUGUCACCCAAAGGUCAUUGUGUUCAAACUGGCCCUAACUUCACACUAGUUUAGUGUGUCACACAUACAUUUAACGAUGGUUACUUAUAGACAGUCAGUAGGGGUUUCUAUUUUUUUUUUAAUUUCACUUAUUUAUUUCCUGCUUUAUGGGCCCCAGCAAGCUGGAGAAUAGACAGAAGAAAAAUAAAGUGAUUUCAUGAUUUGAGUGUUAUUGUCCAUAUUCCAUUAAUAAAACAAAGGUAAAAAG